CCCUUAGAUGUCCUGGGCCGCACGCGCGCUACACUGACAUGUUCAACAAGUUUCUCCUAGUUCGACAGGACUGGGAAAUCUUUGAACGCAUGUCGUGAUAGGGAUAGAUCAUUGCAAUUAUUGAUCUUGAACGAGGAAUUCCUAGUAAACGCGAGUCAUCAGCUCGCAUUGAUUACGUCCCUGCCCUUUGUACACACCGCCCGUCGCACCUACCGAUUGAAUGUUUCGGUGAAGAUUCCGGAUAGGACUGGUUUGAUUUAUUUCAUUUCUGACCUAAAAGCUAUCUAAACCUCAACAUUUAGAGGAAGGUGAAGUCGUAACA
rnacentral:rRNA from 1 species